GGAAGAGAGUUCUUUUUAUUUAUUAUGUAUUUUUAAUAUAUAUUAUUCAAUAUAUAUUAGGUGCCUUCUGUGUUGAAGGAACAGGAACUGAAUGUAGAAUGGAUGGAAUAAAAGCACCUCAAAAAGUUGACUCUCUGAUAGGAAAGAGAGAAUAGGUAUAGAAAUAAGAAUGAUCCAAAACAUCAACUCUUUCUUUCUUCAUUAAAAUUGAUUAACUGACUACUAUGUGUUGGGAAUUACACUAGAAGAUGAGGCGAUGAGAUGAAAAGUGCGUAGUACUUGUUUUCAAAGGAUUUAGUAACUAGGGCAGGGGAACAGACAUGUAAAUAAUGGUAGUCACAAUGGAAUGACUUCUAUUACAUAGUUAUAUGUAAGAAAUUCUCAGAACCCUGAGAAAGAAAUACUGAACUCUACAAGGUGUCAGGCUUGGCUUACCUGGAGGAAGACAACUGGUUUUGGGGGUUUGAGUCUCUACUACCAGUUACUUCUCAGUCUGCAGUGUUAGAUUAUUCUUAUCUGAUAAACCUGGCUUCAUGGAAGAGAGUUUCAUGGUGGAACAUGGGUUGAUAUACUGUUGUGAGAGCUCCAGACAGAAUUGGGGUUUGAUCUAAACAGCUGGAAGGGGCCACCGGGGAGGAAAGGAAGAAAGCAGCACAGAGCCAAGUUUGAAGUUUUGGAAGAGAAUCUCCUGAGACAUUGGCUGAGGAACAACUUGUGGCAGAAUCUUUCUGGAAUUUUUCCAUUCAGGGAUACUCUGAGCCCAUUUUGUCAUAGGUCAUCAUGACUUAAUGAAUGAAUAUCAUAUUGAUUAAUUCCUGCAGCUUAAUAAAAUCCUUUGUUCAAGAAUAGCAUGAAAUCUUCUGAGUGUAUCAACUGCUUGUUAGCUAUGAUUGAGACUAAGAGUGCCUG
rnacentral:lncRNA from 1 species